rnacentral:rRNA from 1 species
GAUGAACGCUGGCGGCGUGCCUAAUACAUGCAAGUCGAACGAAUCUUCUUCGGAAGUUGAGUGGCGAACGGGUGAGUAAUGCAUAGGUAACCUGCCCCUGUGCGGGGGAUAACAGGAGGAAACUCCUGCUAAUACCGCAUAGCCAUGAGCACCGCAUGGAGCUCAUGCCAAAUAUCCUUUCGGGGAUAGCGCAGGGAUGGACCUAUGGCGCAUUAGCUGGUUGGCGGGGCAACGGCCCACCAAGGCAACGAUGCGUAGCCGGCCUGAGAGGGCGGAAGGCACCAUUGGGACUGAGACACGGCCCAGACUACUACGGGAGGCAGGAGUAGGGAAUUUUCGGCAAUGGGGGAAACCCUGACCGAGCAACGCCGCGUGAGCGAAGAAGGCCUUCGGGUCGUAAAGCUCUGUUGUAAAGGAAGAACGGCGCAUACAGGAAAUGGUAUGCGAGUGACGGUACUUUACCAGAAAGCCACGGCUAACUACGUGCCAGCAGCCGCGGUAAGAC